CAGCGCCACAAGUGGGAAUCGUAUUUAUUGGGCCUAAAGCGUCCGUAGCUGGUCAGACAAAUCUUUUGUGAAAUCGUGGAGCUUAACUUCACGGCGUGCAGGAGACACUAUCUGACUUGGAACCGGGAGAAGUCAAAGGUAUUCUGGGGGGAGCGGUAAAAUGUUAUAAUCCCCGGAAGACCACCGAUAGCGAAGGCAUUUGACUAGAACGGAUUUGACAGUGAGGGACGAAAGCCAGGGGAGCGAACCGGAUUAGAUACCCGAGUAGUCC
rnacentral:rRNA from 1 species